AGUUUGGGUUUAAGGGUUUUGGUGCAAAUCCAAGUAGCAGCU
rnacentral:tRNA from 1 species